rnacentral:snRNA from 1 species
GUGGUUGCUUCGGUAGCACAUAUACUAAAAUUGGAACAAUACAGAGAAGAUCAGCAUGCCCCC